GACGAACGCUGGCGGCGUGCUUAACACAUGCAAGUCGAGCGGAGCGGCGAACGGGCGAGUAACGCGAGAGUAACUGCCCCCCUCUCUGGGAUAACAGUUGGAAACGGCUGCUAAUACCGGAUAGUGGGGGAUGACUCGCGUCCUAUCAGCUUGUUGGUGGUGUAGUGGCCUACCAAGGCGACGACGGGUCGCCGGCCUGAGAGGGCGACCGGCCACAGUGGGUUGAUCUACGGCCCGUCCUCCUACGGGCGGCAGCAGCGGGGAAUAUUGCACAAUGCGGGAUACUCUUGUGCAGCUAUAGGCGUGCGGUUUGACGGUCUUCGCUUUGUUAACCGCUUUCAGCCAUGACCCGGUUGUGGCUCCCGAAGCACUGGCUAUCUACGUGUCAGCAGCCGCGGUAAUUC
rnacentral:rRNA from 1 species